rnacentral:rRNA from 1 species
UACAGAGGGUGCAAGCGUUGUUCGGAAUUAUUGGGCGUAAAGGGCGCGUAGGCGGUUCGGCAAGUCUCUAGUGAAAUCUCAGGGCUCAACUCUGAGUCUGCUGGGGAAACUGCCGGGCUUGAGUGUGGGAGAGGAGAGUGGAAUUCCCGGUGUAGCGGUGAAAUGCGUAGAUAUCAGGAGGAACACCGAUGGCGAAGGCAGGUCACUGGGCCGCAACUGACGCUGAGGAGCGAAAGCAUGGGGAGCGAACAGG